UAUCUCUGUAGAGUCUGCAUAUCAAUAAGCGGAGGAAAAGAAACUAACAAGGAUUCCCUUAGUAACGGCGAGUGAAGCGGGAAGAGCUCAAAUUUGAAAUCUUCAAGGUUCUACCUUGACGAAUUGUAGUUUAAAGUAGUGUUUUCUGUUAGAUGAGUAGCAAAAGUUCCUUGGAAGUGGGACAUCAUAGAGGGUGAGAAUCCCGUAUUUGGUUAUUCAUUCUAGCUUUGUGAUACACUUUCAAAGAGUCGGAUUGUUUGGGAAUGCAGUCCAAAAUGGGUGGUAAAUUUCAUCUAAAGCUAAAUAUUGGCGAGAGACCGAUAGCGAACAAGUACCGUGAGGGAGAGAUGAAAAGAACUUUGAAAAGAGAGUUAAACAGUACGUGAAAUUGUCAAAAGGGAAGCGUUUGACACCAGUGUUGUUUUUCCGAAAAUCAAUUACGAAUGGCUUGAUUCUGUGUUGUAUUGACCUUAUCAGCUUUCUGCACUUUUUUUCGAGUCUUUCUUAAUGCACUUUUUCGGUUAACAAGUCAACAUCAAUUUCCUUUGUUGUAAAAGAGUAUUCGGAAGGUGGCUUUCUUUUCGGAGAAAGUGUUUAUAGCCCUAUGACUCCUAGCGAUCGGAGAGACUUGAGGUCUGCAGCGUAGAUCCUUCUGGAUUAGAUACACUUGUGCUAAGUUGUAAGCGUUUCAUAGACAACUUGUUGACUAUAUUUAGAUCAUGUCGGCUUACUCGCUUAUGCUAAUUUUACCUACGCUUAGGAUGUUGAUCUGUAGUGCGUGCGC
rnacentral:rRNA from 1 species